GUGUAGUAUUCCUUGUUUUCUUUUGGUUACUGGUCUUGUUUUUUCAUCUUUCUUUUCUUCUCCUUUGGAAAAAUCUUACUAUGCAGCCCAGCUGAGCCUCAAAUUUGUGAUCAGCUUCCUGAUUAUUGGGAUUCCAGGUCCCCAAGGAGAAGCCAUAAGAUGUGACUACAGUCAUGGAUUAGAUACUCUGUCUCCCCCACAGAUCUAUUUAGAGCAAACUGGAUGAAACUGGAAGUCUGCUUUGUGAAAGAAAGGAGAUUCUUAGAGGAGAUGCUAUGAUAGGCUGUGAGGAGGGCAGCCACAUGGGGAGCUGAGAUGGCUGGGCAGGUUUUCAGCCUCCUGGAGGACAAGCAGAAGCUAUACAGGAUCAAACAAAUGUUUUAA
rnacentral:lncRNA from 1 species